UUACGGCCAUAUCACGUUGAAACAACCGUUCCCGCACGAUCACCGAAAGUUAAGAAACGUCGAGCGUGAACAGUACCUAGAUGGGUGACCACUUAGGAAUACCAGAUACUGUAAG